GGAGUCUAGCAUGCGCGCGAGUCAUUGGGAACGACUCUAACUAAACCUAAAGGCGUAAUGAAAGUGAAGGCGCGCCUCAGAGCGCGCCGAGGGAGGAUGGGUCGAGCGCGUCGGCAACGGCGCGUCUCGGCCCCGCACUCCCGGGGCGUCUCGUUCUCAUCGCGAGAUGUAGGCGCACCCAGAGCGUGCACGCUGGGACCCGAAAGAUGGUGAACUAUGCCUGGUCAGGACGAAGUCAGGGGAAACCCUGAUGGAGGUCCGUAGCGAUUCUGACGUGCAAAUCGAUCGUCGGAACUGGGUAUAGGGGCGAAAGACUAAUCGAACCAUCUAGUAGCUGGUUCCCUCCGAAGUUUCCCUCAGGAUAGCUGGCGCUCGUAAAUUUAUAAAUAAUAUACACGAGUCUCAUCCGGUAAAGCGAAUGAUUAGAGGCAUUGGGGUCGAAACGGCCUCAACCUAUUCUCAAACUUUAAAUGGGUGAGAUCUCCGGCUUGCUUGAAUCGUGAAGCCGCGAGAUCGGAUCAGAGUGCCAAGUGGGCCAAUUUUGGUAAGCAGAACUGGCGCUGUGGGAUGAACCAAACGUGGAGUUAAAGCUCCUAAAUCGACGCUCAUGGGAUACCAUGAAAGGCGUUGGUAACUUAAGACAGCAGGACGGUGGCCAUGGAA
rnacentral:rRNA from 1 species